rnacentral:rRNA from 1 species
AUUGAACGCUGGCGGCAGGCCUAACACAUGCAAGUCGAACGAGUGGCGGACGGGUGAGUAAUGUCUGGGAAACUGCCUGAGGGAGGGGGAUAACUACUGGAAACGGUAGCUAAUACCGCAUACCAUCAGAUGUGCCCCGAUGGGAUUAGCUAGGUGGUGGGGGCACGGCUAACCAAGGCGACGAACCCUAGCUGGUCUGAGAGGAUGACCAGCGACACGGGAGCUGAGACAGGGACCAGAUGCCUACGGGAGGGAGCAGUGGGGAACAUUGCACAAUGGGCGCAAGCCUGAUGCAGCCAUGCCGCGUGUAUGAAGAAGGCCUUCGGGUUGUAAAGUACUUUCAGCGGGUAGGCGUUACCCGCAGAAGAAGCACCGGCUAACUCCGUGCCAGCAGCCGCGGUAAUUC